rnacentral:lncRNA from 1 species
AACACCAUACCCACAGACUCUAUAAACCAUCUUGUACCCAAGGUAAGAGGGAGAAGACAAAAAAACACAAUAGAAAGGGAGAACGGCAAAAACGGAGACGGCGAUCUUCUCCAAAGCCACCAUAAAUCUCCAUGAAAACAACCUCUCUCACGAUUUUUCUCUCUAAAAAAAAAUGAAACUAGCAGCAACAACCAUUUUUUCAAAAGAACUCGAACGCCCCUCAGCCGUUCUUCAUAAGCAACCAGCUUCACACUCAACAGCCGACUUUCACCACCAUUAAAACACGGUCGAAGUUUCGGCGCCGAAAGUCCGUCCGAGUUAAAAGUUUCUCUGGUCAAGGUUCAGUUUGCGAAUUUGGUUCCGAGGUUGUUAUUUGAUUUCAGCUUUUCUUAUCUCCAUGGUUAUGGCUAUUGUACAAAGCUUGGCUUGAAAUUUUAUUAAUAUUGAAAGAGGUUUCCUUCAAAUUUCUUCGGUCCAGCUUGGUCUUAAGUUUAAUUCUUCCCUCUGUUUGAGCUCAUCGCUGCCGUUUAGUUGCUGUAAUCUCACUAGAGAUGCUCGAUAAUAAUGUUUGAUCAAUGUCAUUUUGGAGCGAGUUUCCCGGUGCCUAAUCGAGUUUCCGUAUGCGGUUUAUUACAUUUUGAGCUCAAAGCAGUGCUGCUAUAGUUGAUUUCCAUGCCAUACUGAGGGUAAAUCGAUCAGAUAUAAGCAGAAGAGGUUGAUUGUCACAUUUGGUCAAAGCUGGAGUGAUUGUGCAGGCGACGCUGCUCUGCUUUUGCCCUUUCAGGUAAUCCAUUUCGAGGUUGGCGUGAAUGGAUUUGUUUUUGGAUCUUUUUCUGCAGUAAGUUUCCAUUGUUACGAAUAUUCUGAUGCAAUUAUGUGCUAGGAAUACUUAUUUGAUAAUCCAACUAAUCACUCAAAAGAAUUAGAUAUUUGGAAAUCUAAAGGUUUGUUCUAUGACAUCUGUAUUUGUCGCAAUAAGUGUUAUUAGUAUUUGCUUUUCAAAAAUAAGUCAUCUAGUUAACAAAUAAAGCCAUCGAUUAUUAGAAUAGUUAUUACUUUCAGUUGAUGGUUCAUGAAGUUAUUUAUAAUUUCUUAUAUUGCUUGGGUAGUAAAUUAGGUAAGUGAAUAAGUUGAAUGUAUUGGGCUCAGGGAGUUGAAUGUAUUCUUCUGCUUCGUUUUUUUUUUUUGGGCAAUCACACUAGGCAAAUGCCUAGGGCUCGACUUUAUUAAUAAUCAAAAAGAAAAUUACAACAAUUAGGAAAAUUAAAAUAAGGAUUAGCACCGGUGUUGUUACCCAUAUAACACAACCAGUGUAAACCUUAUCCUAAUAAUCCUAUUGAGGCAAAUAAAAACCUCACAUAUUAGCAAGCAUGUAAAAAGAAAGAACUAGCAAGAACUAAGAAUUUGUUAAUCAUCACAAAGUUUAUAACGUACUAUGUAAUGAUAUUACAAAUUAUGAUACUAAUGAGAUGAUAAUAAUGAGAUGAAGAAACCACCUUGGUGUUCUCUUUUUUCUAGAUUUGUGAAUACUUCCAUUUGUAGAUUGAUAUCUUCCUCCACAAUAUUUUUCAAAAAUACUUCAAAGUUCAUGGUUUUUUUAUCAAACGAUUGGCCUUUGAUUGAUUGAGCUGUUUUUGUUUUGCAUUUCUCUCACAUUUUUUAUCAAUCGAUUGGCCCUUGAAGCUAUUGUUUGAUUGAGCUGUUUUUGUUUUGCGUUUCUCAUUGGGGGUCUCCUUAUUAAAUCGCCUUCUAUCACCCUGUCGUCCCAACUUCUAUUCCUUGCACGCGGGUUGGUACUUUUUCCACUAUGCAAUGGUGAUAAAUCACCAUUUUUUGAAGUGUCUGUCCAGCAUUUCUGUAAAAUAUCCUCUUCCUCUCCUUCUUCAUAUAUAUGUCUACUUGUUGAAAUUGGAUUUGGCAUAUCUUGAAAAUUGCCUUGACUUAGCAAUGUUGUUUCAGCUUGUACAUUUGCCGAAAUUGCCUUGUUUUGAAUUUGUUUUUGCGAUUUGUUCCUACUCAUAUUUGCACGGCUUGAACUGGAAUUAUCAAGGGCUAGAGCAUCUGUAAUUUAUCUUCGCAUCCAAAAUUUGUCUUUCUUCUGAAGAGAAUAAAGGAUUAUUUGUUACGAAGUGUCUUUCAUCGUCUUGCUGCUGUUCAGAACUAUGACUUAAAACCAAAGGUUGGCUCGUUCCAUCGACAUGAUUCCUCUGCUCUAAAAUACUUGCUGGUUCAGUUGUGACCAAAAGAUUUUGUCCAGUUUUUUUUUCGAGCAGAAGCAUUUUUGUCUGCUGAAUGUUGGUCUGGUUGGAUGUGAAUUCCUGUUGCUAUUUUGUCGAUCUUUGGUAUUGCUGUAUUUGAACUAACUGCUUUUGCAGUAUUUGUUGGAAGAAAAACUAGAGCGUUAUGGUUCAACUUGCUGAUUGAAUUUGCUGUAGUUACCACAGAUGCACGACAAUUCAGAUUGGUCUGCUUUGAUAAUGCAGGUCUCCCGUUGAAGCUUGCUCUAUUUGCCGCAGAUGUACGCCAAUUCAGAUUGGUCUGUUUUCAUGAUGCAGGUCUCCCAUUGAAUUUUUGUUUGAUUGGAGCGUCAAAGUCCUCUCCUGCACUAUCCUGAUCAGUUUGUUGAUCGUCUUCUUCGGUUGAAAAACCAGCAAAACCAACUCCCCAUCCCACAUCAUCAUCAUACUCUCGUUGGUCUUUCCACAGUUUCAAGUUAAUGACAAUCUUCCUCAUGUUUGCUUGAAUUAUUGCUUUGUUACUACCAAAAGAGAUUGCUGGUUGUCCAUAUUGUUGUUGCUCGUCAGUUGAUUCAAAUGAUUGAUGCAGUGAGGCCAAAGAUUGCAUGAACUUAGGAACAUUGGACAUCAUUUUAUCCUGUGUAUCUUUGGUGACAGUUUGAUCCGUUG